UACGGGAGCAGCAGUGGGGAAUAUUGCACAAUGGGCGCAAGCCUGAUGCAGCCAUGCCGCGUGUAUGAAGAAGGCCUUCGGGUUGUAAAGUACUUUCAGUCGUGAGGAAGGUGUUAAGGUUAAUAACCUUAGCAAUUGACGUUAGCGACAGAAGAAGCACCGGCUAACUCCGUGCCAGCAGCCGCGGUAAUACGGAGGGUGCGAGCGUUAAUCGGAAUUACUGGGCGUAAAGGGCACGCAGGCGGUUAAUUAAGUUGGAUGUGAAAUCCCCGGGCUUAACCUGGGAAUGGCAUUCAAGACUGGUUAGCUAGAGUCUUGUAGAGGGGGUAGAAUUCCAUGUGUAGCGGUGAAAUGCGUAGAGAUGUGGAGGAAUACCGGUGGCGAAGGCGGCCCCUGGGACAAAGACUGACGCUCAUGUGCGAAAGCGUGGGGAGCAAACAGGAUUAGAUACC
rnacentral:rRNA from 1 species